GCAGUCGAGGGGUAUUGGUUUUCGGACCAGAGACCGGCGCACGGGUGCGUAACGCGUAUGCAAUCUACCUUUCACAGAGGGAUAGCCCAGAGAAAUUUGGAUUAAUACCUCAUAGUAUUGCGGAAUGGCAUCAUUUUGUAAUUAAAGUCACAACGGUGAAAGAUGAGCAUGCGUCCCAUUAGCUAGUUGGUAAGGUAACGGCUUACCAAGGCUACGAUGGGUAGGGGUCCUGAGAGGGAGAUCCCCCACACUGGUACUGAGACACGGACCAGACUCCUACGGGAGGCAGCAGUGAGGAAUAUUGGACAAUGGGCGCAAGCCUGAUCCAGCCAUGCCGCGUGCAGGAUGACGGUCCUAUGGAUUGUAAACUGCUUUUGCACAGGAAGAAACAACAUUACGUGUAAUGUCUUGACGGUACUGUGAGAAUAAGGAUCGGCUAACUCCGUGCCAGCAGCCGCGGUAAUACGGAGGAUCCAAGCGUUAUCCGGAAUCAUUGGGUUUAAAGGGUCCGUAGGCGGUUUAGUAAGUCAGUGGUGAAAGCCCAUCGCUCAACGGUGGAACGGCCAUUGAUACUGCUAGACUUGAAUUAUUAGGAAGUAACUAGAAUAUGUAGUGUAGCGGUGAAAUGCUUAGAGAUUACAUGGAAUACCAAUUGCGAAGGCAGGUUACUACUAAUGGAUUGACGCUGAUGGACGAAAGCGUGGGUAGCGAACAGGAUUAGAUACCCUGGUAGUCCACGCCGUANACGAUGGAUACUAGCUGUUGGGAGCGAUCUCAGUGGCUAAGCGAAAGUGAUAAGUAUCCCACCUGGGGAGUACGUUCGCAAGAAUGAAACUCAAAGGAAUUGACGGGGGCCCGCACAAGCGGUGGAGCAUGUGGUUUAAUUCGAUGAUACGCGAGGAACCUUA
rnacentral:rRNA from 1 species